AUACGGAGGGUGCAAGCGUUACUCGGAAUCACUGGGCGUAAAGCGCGCGCAGGCGGCCAUUUAAGUUGGAUGUGAAAGCCUACGGCUCAACCGUAGAACUGCAUCCAAAACUAUUUGGCUAGAGUGUGGGAGAGGAAGAUCGAAUUAGUUGUGUAGGGGUAAAAUCCGUAGAGAUAACUAGGAAUACCAAAAGCGAAGGCAAUCUUCUGGAACACUACUGACGCUGAGGCGCGAAAGCGUGGGGAGCAAACGGGAUUAGAUACCCUAGUAGUCC
rnacentral:rRNA from 1 species